AUUGAACGCUGGCGGCAUGCCUUACACAUGCAAGUCGAACGGUAACAGGUCUUCGGAUGCUGACGAGUGGCGAACGGGUGAGUAAUACAUCGGAACGUGCCUAGUAGUGGGGGAUAACUACUCGAAAGAGUGGCUAAUACCGCAUGAGAUCUACGGAUGAAAGCAGGGGAUCGCAAGACCUUGUGCUACUAGAGCGGCCGAUGGCAGAUUAGGUAGUUGGUGGGAUAAAAGCUUACCAAGCCGACGAUCUGUAGCUGGUCUGAGAGGACGAUCAGCCACACUGGGACUGGAACACGGCCCAGACUCCUACGGGAGGCAGCAGUGGGGAAUUUUGGACAAUGGGCGAAAGCCUGAUCCAGCAAUGCCGCGUGCAGGAUGAAGGCCUUCGGGUUGUAAACUGCUUUUGUACGGAACGAAAAGCCCCGGGUUAAUACCCUGGGGUCAUGACGGUACCGUAAGAAUAAGCACCGGCUAACUACGUGCCAGCAGCCGCCGCCG
rnacentral:rRNA from 1 species